UACGGGGGGGGCAAGCGUUGUUCGGAAUUACUGGGCGUAAAGGGCGCGUAGGCGGCCUUCUAAGUCGGACGUGAAAUCCCUCGGCUUAACCGAGGAACUGCGUCCGAUACUGAAAGGCUUGAAUUCGGGAGAGGGAUGUGGAAUUCCAGGUGUAGCGGUGAAAUGCGUAGAUAUCUGGAGGAACACCGGUGGCGAAGGCGGCAUCCUGGACCGGUAUUGACGCUGAGGCGCGAAAGCUAGGGGAGCGAACAGG
rnacentral:rRNA from 1 species